CUGGACAGAAAACCGUACCCGUUGCGUUAACAUAUUUACUUUAUCUUGUGAAAUUGUAAUACAUGAGAAAACUGAUAAACUGGCGAGCUUAAACAGUUAAGUGUGUACCGAACUGACUUGUACACACAUUUAUUUGUUCAUAUCGGCGUCCCAUUUUAUGAAAUUCAUGUGAUAAUUAUAUAUUUUACAAUAUUUGCUGUUUUAUGGAAUAAAAGGUAAAGAAAGAAGAAAUUUGGUUGUUUUAGCAGGAAACGCUUACAUGUGAUAAAGAUAUUACAUUUGCACGCAUGGUAAACUACAGAGCUACCUCUUUAAGACGUAUACGGUAAACUGCUCUGUCGCAACUUCCGAGGUAGUGCACGUCGCGAUAAAAGAACAUCAACAAAGAUUUCCCAGUACAGAGAUGGCGCUAUUCAUCUA
rnacentral:lncRNA from 1 species